AGUCGAACGAGAGAGGAUCGGUGCUUGCACUGAUCCAAUCGAGUGGCGGACGGGUGAGUAACGCGUGGGUAACCUGCCUCAUACAGGGGAAUAACAGUUGGAAACGGCUGCUAAAACCGCAUAAGCGCACAGUAUCGCAUGAUACAGUGUGAAAAACUCCGGUGGUAUGAGAUGGACCCGCGUCUGAUAGCUAGUUGGUGAGGUAACGGCCCACCAAGGCAACGAUCAGUAGCCGGCCUGAGAGGGUGAACGGCCACAUUGGGACUGAGACACGGCCCAAACUCCUACGGGAGGCAGCAGUGGGGAAUAUUGCACAAUGGGGGAAACCCUGAUGCAGCGACGCCGCGUGAGUGAUGAAGUAUUUCGGUAUGUAAAGCUCUAUCAGCAGGGAAGAUAAUGACGGUACCUGACUAAGAAGCACCGGCUAAAUACGUGCCAGCAGCCGCGGUAAUACGUAUGGUGCAAGCGUUAUCCGGAUUUACUGGGUGUAAAGGGUGCGUAGGUGGUGAGACAAGUCUGAAGUGAAAAUCCGGGGCUUAACCCCGGAACUGCUUUGGAAACUGCCUGACUAGAGUACAGGAGAGGUAAGUGGAAUUCCUAGUGUAGCGGUGAAAUGCGUAGAUAUUAGGAGGAACACCAGUGG
rnacentral:rRNA from 1 species